AACGCAGAUCAGAGGUAGUCGGACCUUUCCCGCUGGCGCGCAGCCUCAGCUAGGACUUCUUGCCCACGUGCGCCUUCAAAACGGUAAGAGCUGCAACUGAACGUGUGAGACAUGGUGCAGAUAGGCUGAGAGGCGGCGGGAGAGAUGCCCAUGAACUCAAGUACCCGGACACGCCCUCCACUUCUACCACCACGAGUAACACCGCCCCCACGGGACCGCUCUCGAGGUCCCCCAAGCCAAGGUGAGAGGCGUCUUCCCAAGACCAGACACUGCCGGUGCCCUAUCACCUCCCACUUUUUUUCUGGAACUGCUAGGGGCCCAGCGCUGCUUCUGCAGCCUUCCAGGGGAUGCUGCUGGUGGCGCGUAUGCCGCCUAGGUGGGUGGGGAUGUGCUGAGGCCGAAGGAGUGACAGCGACUCGCAGGUUU
rnacentral:sRNA from 1 species